rnacentral:rRNA from 1 species
AAACAUGUNUUUUUGAUUUUAAUUUAAAGUCUAAUCUGCCCACUGAUAAAUAUUAAAGGGCUGCAGUAAUUUGACUGUACAAAGGUAGCAUAAUCAUUAGUCUUUUAAUUGGAGACUUGUAUGAAAGAUUUGAUGAGAUAUAAACUGUCUCUUAUUUAUUUAUAAAAUUUAAUUUUUUAGUUAAAAAGCUAAAAUAUAUUUAAAAGACGAGAAGACCCUAUAGAGUUUUAUAAUUUAUAAAUUUAAUAUUUAUAUAAAAUUUUAAUAUUAAAUAAAAUAAAUUAUUUUGUUGGGGUGAUAAAAAAAUUAAAAAAACUUUUUUUUUUGUUUACAUAAAUAAGUGUUUAAUUGAUCCUUUAUAAAGAUUAUAAGAAAAAAUUACCUUAGGGAUAACAGCGUAAUAUUUUUUUUUAGUACAAAUAAAAAAAAAAGUUUGCGACCUCGAUGUUGGAUUAAGAUAAAAUUUAAAUGCAAAAGUUUAAAAUUUUGAUCUGUUCGAUCAUUAAAAUCUUACAUGAUC